UCUCCAUUCAUUAAUAUUCAGAGGAGAAACAUGCAGACCAGGUUUCUGACAAUAACAACAAACAGACAAACAAACAAAACCCCAAAACACACUUUGUGGUCCCCGGUUGGUGACUUACCAGAGAGUGAUUUUUAAACUGGAGAUUUCAGAUAAAGCAAAUCUCUGCUACCUGGUUUGUGCUUUUGAAAGGGACAAGCUUUUUGAGAGACACAGGUGGCUGGCUGUUUUCUCCUCUGGAUGAGAGGGAAAAGCUGGAGAGGACAGGAAGCAGAGAACACAGAAUAGAAGCUGUGUGAUAGAAACUCUUGGUUUCCCUGGCAACGUUUCACAAAGUUACAAUAACAAGACUCCCGCUCUUGUCCCCAUUGGGUGGCAGUUGGGUCAUCCAGCUGUGUGCUGGGGAGUUAGGCAGCUUGUGUUCAGAGUUAGUGCUGUCUACUUCCAGAUCUUUGAAAGCCCAGACUAUCCCUCCUGUUGGCUGUGGUUGCUCACAGUCCCUGAAGCAUGCUUUCGGGCUCUUAUGCUGCCAUGCAAGUUUUUAUUUUUUCUUGCUGUGUCUCGUUUGGUCAUUUCCAUGUUUAAUUCUGUUCUGGAUUGUUCCCAGGCACCCCAUAGACUUGCUACAAACAAGGCCUGGUGUGUUUAGGGCUCCCCAGAGUUCACUGAAGGAGUCAUUUCUUCACUCUCCUCAUCUUGGAGAUAGAGAGAUGAUUGAAGCAUUUGCUUUGGAGGAGAGCUCCCUUGGUUAGCAAUGGAGAUGACAAAAACUCAGCCAAUCAGAAUAAAUGAAAGGUGCAGCCAAUCAGAAUAAGCCAAAAAUGCAGCCAAUCAGAACCGUUGGCUUGUAGAGCAAGAACUGAAGUGGGGCUGGGAGGGGGCUGUCUUUUCUUGAGAGAAAGGCCAAAGGUGUUAGCUUUUGAGGGGGUUAGCAGAAACCGAGGAGUUGAUAGGGAAGAACUCCCAGGGAGAGGGAACUCUGUGUGGGAGGAGAAGCCGAGGAAGUCCACUAAAGUGACAGGAGGUUACAGUGUUGUGCAGCUUUUACAGGCAAGAUUGCUUCCCUAACAUCCGGCACCUGUGGCAAUCGGUCUAGGUAGAGAGUUUCUAAAGACUCCAUCUGAGAACCGGUUUUUUCCAUCUCAGAAUGGGGCCAAAUAUUGACUUUAUUAGGUUAAGGUAAGGUUAAGAGUGAAUAAUGGAGGUGCAGCUUUGAAAAUGUGGUGGUUCAGCAAAUGUUAUUAUCACCACCACCAUCAUCAUCACCAUCACCACCAUCAUCAUCACCAUCACCACCAUCAUCAUCACCAUCAUCACCAUCAUCAUCACCAUCACCACCAUCAUCAUCACCAUCAUCAUCACCAUCACCACCAUCAUCAUCACCAUCAUCACCACCAUCACCAUCAUCACCAUCACCAUCAUCAUCACCAUCACCAUCAUCACCAUCACCAUCAUCACCAUCAUCACCAUCACCAUCAUCACCAUCACCAUCAUCAUCACCAUCACCAUCAUCAUCAUCAUCACCAUCAUCAUUAUCAUCACCAUCACCAUCACCACCAUCACCAUCAUCAUCAUCACCAUCAUCACCACCAUCACCAUCAUCAUCACCAUCACCAUCAUCACCAUCACCAUCAUCACCAUCACCAUCAUCACCAUCACCAUCAUCAUCACCAUCACCAUCACCACCAUCAUCACCAUCACCAUCAUCACCAUCACCAUCAUCACCAUCAUCACCAUCAUCACCAUCACCAUCAUCACCAUCAUCACCAUCAUCACCACCACCAUCAUCAUCACAACCAUCAUCACCAUCACCAUCACCACCAUCACCAUCAUCAUCACCACCAUCACCAUCAUCAUCAUCAUCACCAUCACCAUCAUCACCACCACCAUCAUCAUCAUCACCAUCACCAUCAUCAUCAUCAUCACCAUCAUCACCAUCACCACCAUCACCAUCACCAUCACCAUCACCAUCACCAUCAUCACCAUCAUCAUCAUCAUCACCAUCACCAUCAUCAUCACCAUCACCAUCAUCACCAUCACCA
ensembl:lncRNA